rfam:Macrostomum lignano uti_cns_0003104, whole genome shotgun sequence.
GGGGUUGUAGCCUAGUAGUUAGAGCGUCGGACUCAUGACCUGAAGGUUGGGGGUUCGAUUCCCGAUCCCA